GUGCUCCCGGGCCGCUCGGGGGCGCGCGGGCGCGGCGCCCAGGGAGGUGCCUCUGCCGAGACUCGGGUCGCGCGGCCAGCCUCGCAAGGUCACCCAGCCGCCGGCGCGCGGCGGCCCUGUCGGUGCAAAGCCUCUGGAAGAGGCCAGCGAGCCCAGGCGACUCUGCGGGAACCAGCGCGGCUCCCAAACCGCUGUCACCGAGCAUUGCAAGCCUUGCAAGGAGGAGGAAGCCGGGGUCGCUCCGAACGUGCACACGGACGCCAGUUUCUGCCUUAGGCGCGCCUGUUUGCUUGGAUUUUUUUUUUUUUUUUCUGAUUUUGUGAAUUACCUAAACUGUCUUAGGGCCGAGCCGCUGCCACUCAGUUCCCCUCCCUUCUUGGUAAGGGGACCUCUCAGAGCCCGCGGGGGCAUUCUGGGAACAUCCUGGAGUCAUCGAGUCCUGCCUCUGAGGCGUGGUGGGCUUAUUUGUGCAGAGAAGAAACGGAUCCCUUAAUGGGAACUGAAAACAGCAGCAUAAUUGAUGUGUCGGAGGUCUGUUGUUGAGUCUCAGCAUCUUGGCCCUUCAGAAGGCUUCUCUUGAUGAAUGACCUCAUAUGUACAGUGCUUGUCAAUCAGCAAGACAAGAGUGGCCAUUGUCAUGGUAAAUUCUACCAGAGUGGACGCAGGACUAGCCACAGGAUUGUCAUCAUGGAUUGCUGCAGCCAUGAAUCAUCUGAAGGAAUGGGCGGGCAUGGGAGUGUUAGCAGGCCUUCUGGUAUUGGUCUCCUUGGUUUGCCUGUGGUAUAUAUGCAAGAUUAGAGUCUCACAACAGCGUAAUGCAGCCAUGACCAUUCAGACCUUUACAACCCUUGAAGCAGGACAGUCUCCCCAAGCAUGGUUGGCUACCAUAAAAAGCUAAAAUGAUACGCUCAGGAUGCGAGGCUAAGCACUGCACUCAGGGUCAGCCGCUUUGGACCCAGAGAAGAGCAUGUCUGAUUGCAUGCAGGUUGAUGCCCCAGGUCCCGCCUCUGAGAAAAAGGUAUCGGACAGG